GCUGGCGGCACGCCUAACACAUGCAAGUCGAACGAAGUAGCAAUACUUAGUGGCAGACGGGUGAGUAACAUGUGGGUAUCUGCCCUUUGGCCUGGAAUAACACGAGGAAACUUGUGCUAAUACCGGAUAAGUCUUUACGGAGAAAGCUUUAUGCACCAUUGGAUGAGCCCGCACUUGAUUAGUUUGUUGGUAGGGUAAUGGCCUACCAAGACUGUGAUCAAUAGCUGAUUUGAGAGGAUGAUCAGCCACAUUGGGACUGAGACACGGCCCAAACUCCUACGGGAGGCAGCAGUGGGGAAUCUUGCACAAUGGAGGAAACUCUGAUGCAGCGAUGCCGCGUGAGUGAAGAAGGCCCUUGGGUUGUAAAGCUCUUUCGUCGGGGAAGAAAAUGACUGUACCCGAAUAAGAAGGUCCGGCUAACUUCGUGCCAGCAGCCGCGGUAAUACGAAGGGACCUAGCGUAGUUCGGAAUUACUGGGCUUAAAGAGUUCGUAGGUGGUUGAAAAAGUUGGUGGUGAAAUCCCAGAGCUUAACUCUGGAACUGCCAUCAAAACUUUUCAGCUAGAGUUUGAUAGAGGAAAGCAGAAUUUCUAGUGUAGAGGUGAAAUUCGUAGAUAUUAGAAAGAAUACCAAUUGCGAAGGCAGCUUUCUGGAUCAUUACUGACACUGAGGAACGAAAGCAUGGGUAGCGAAGAGGAUUAGAUACCCUCGUAGUCCAUGCCGUAAACGAUGUGUGUUAGACGUUGGAAAUUUAUUUUCAGUGUCGCAGC
rnacentral:rRNA from 1 species